UAGGGAAUUUUGGUCAAUGGGCGAAAGCCUGAACCAGCAACGCCGCGUGCAGGAUGAAGGCCCUCGGGUCGUAAACUGCUGUCAGGAGGGAAGAACGGCGGUUCGGUCAAUACCCGGGCCGCGUGACGGUACCUCCAAAGGAAGAACCGGCUAACUCCGUGCCAGCAGCCGCGGUAAUACGGAGGGUUCAAGCGUUGUUCGGAAUUACUGGGCGUAAAGCGCGUGUAGGUGGCUUGGCAAGUCGGAUGUGAAAGCCCGGGGCUCAACCCCGGAACUGCAUCCGAAACUGCCUCGCUAGAGUCCCGGAGAGGAAGGCAGAAUUCCCAGUGUAGGGGUGAAAUCCGUAGAUAUUGGGAGGAAUACCAGUGGCGAAGGCGGCCUUCUGGACGGUGACUGACACUCAGACGCGAAAGCGUGGGGAGCAAACAGGAUUAGAUACCCCCGUAGUCC
rnacentral:rRNA from 1 species